rnacentral:rRNA from 1 species
CCUACGGGUGGCAGCAGUGAGGAAUAUUGGUCAAUGGGCGAGAGCCUGAACCAGCCAAGUCGCGUGAAGGAAGAAGGAUUAUGGUUCGUAAACUUCUUUUAUAGGGGAAUAUGUACCCUACGAAUAAGGAUCGGCUAACUCCGUGCCAGCAGCCGCGGUAAUACGGAGGAUCCAAGCGUUAUCCGGAUUUAUUGGGUUUAAAGGGUGCGUAGGUGGUUACUUAAGUCAGCGGUGAAAGUUUGUGGCUCAACCAUAAAAUUGCCGUUGAAACUGGGCAACUUGAGUAUAUUUGAGGUAGGCGGAAUGCGUGGUGUAGCGGUGAAAUGCUUAGAUAUCACGCAGAACUCCAAUUGCGAAGGCAGCUUACUAAACUAUACUGACACUGAAGCACGAAAGCGUGGGUAUCAAACAGGAUUAGAUACCCGAGUAGUC